rnacentral:rRNA from 1 species
GACGAACGCUGGCGGCGUGCUUAACACAUGCAAGUCGAACGGAAAGGCCCCUUUGGGGGUCCUCGGGUGGCGAACGGGGGGGUAACACGCGAGUAACCUGCCCUUGACUUCGGGAUAACUUCACUAAAAUCGGGCUAAUACCGCGUAGGAAUGAUUUCUGCCUUGUGGGUGUUGGAAAGUUUCGUCGGUUUUGGGUGGACUUGCGGCCUAUCCGCUUGUUGGUUGGGUAGUGGCUUACCGAGGCUGUGACGGGGAGCCGGCCUGGGAGGGCGACCGGCAACAUUGGGACUGAGAUACGGCCCAGACUCCGACGGGAGGCAGCAGUGGGGAAUAUUGCACAAGGGGCAGGAGCCAGAUGCAGCAACGCCGCGUGCGGGAUGACGGCCUUCGGGUUGUAAACCGAUUUCAGCAGGGGCGAAGCUUGUGGUGACGGUACCUGCAGAAGAAGCACCGGCUAACUACGUG